rnacentral:lncRNA from 1 species
CACAUUGGCCAGAUGGCUAGUGACAAGAGCGGCCUCAGCUCGCAUGCAUGUGGGUCCCUUGGCUGAGUCAGCAUCCCUCUGCACUCUUGAAUUUGAUUUUGAUUUCGAUUUCACUGCUACUAGCCUGCCCACCAGGACAUUCCCAUCCGGCAGAACCACGCAGCAACCUGCAACGACUGGCCCUUCCGCUAUGCCAUUGCUGGGACCGUGCGCGGAUGCUCUGCUCCUCAGCGCAGGCAGCAAG